rnacentral:misc_RNA from 1 species
AAAUGUGAUAAGUAAUGUGAAUUGCAGAAUUCAGUGAAUCAUCGAAUCUUUGAACGCACAUUGCGCCCGCCAGUAUUCUGGCGGGCAUGCCUGUUCGAGCGUCAUUUCAACCAUCAAGCCCCCGGCUUGUGUUGGGGACCUGCGGCUGCCCGCAGGCCCUGAAAAACAGUGGCGGGCUCGCUGUCACACCGAGCGUAGUAGCAUACAUUCUCGCUCAGGGCGUGCUGCGGGUUCCGGCCGUUAAACGACCUUCAUAACCCAAGGUUGACCUCGGAUCAGGUAGGAAGACCCGCUGAACUUAAGC